rnacentral:tRNA from 1 species
UAGCUGAGUGGAUAAAGCAAUGGCUUUUGAAGCGGAAGGUACUGGGUUCGAGUCCCAG